CCACAAGCAAAUUAGGACAGGAUUCGU
rnacentral:sRNA from 1 species